ncrna:unclassified sequences Flavobacterium-1 RNA
CCAAGUUAGGGGUACAUAUUUUGCCUAUGGCAUUUCCCUGAACCUAAGCUGUGAUCCGCAAGGUAGCGUCGAUACUUGGACCAGUAACGCUGAGUCACCUGAUCAGUGAGCGUUGCUGGU